ACGAACGCUGGCGGCGUGCCUAAUACAUGCAAGUCGAACGGUCUUUCUAUGGAAGCUUGCUUCCACUGAGAAGAUAGUGGCGAACGGGUGAGUAACACGUGGGUAACCUGCCCAUAAGAGGGGGAUAACAUCCGGAAACGGGUGCUAAUACCGCAUAGUUUUCUUGAUCGCAUGAUCGGGAAAGGAAAGACGGCCUUUGUGCUGUCGCUUAUGGAUGGACCCGCGGCGUAUUAGUUAGUUGGUGAGGUAACGGCUCACCAAGACGAUGAUACGUAGCCGACCUGAGAGGGUGAUCAGCCACAUUGGGACUGAGACACGGCCCAAACUCCUACGGGAGGCAGCAGUAGGGAAUCUUCCGCAAUGGACGAAAGUCUGACGGAGCAACGCCGCGUGAGUGAAGAAGGUUUUUUCGGAUCGUAAAACUCUGUUGUCAGAGAAGAACAAGUUGGAGAGUAACUGCUCCAGCCUUGACGGUAUCUGACCAGAAAGCCACGGCUAACUACGUGCCAGCAGCGGC
rnacentral:rRNA from 1 species